CUGCCCGCCUCUAGCCACCCUGUCUCCCUAGGGCACCACUUGUGGUUAGCGACAGGGCAGCAGGGUCCAGAAGGGUUAAGUUUAAAACUACAGUCUGCUCACAGCCAGCAGACUGUCCUCUUGACCAGACCCAUUUUGGAGAGAAAGGAAGAAGCAGCCUGAGGGGUCCCUGCUUUUCUUUUUGUGUAUCUAAUGGGCCUCCGGAGUCAUCUGGAGAAUCACAGCCCCCCUGGAACUCAGGAAAGAGGUUCUGGGGAAAAAAAAAAACCUCAGAUAAAAAAACCUCAAGCUGAAAAAAACCUCAAGUGACCAGGGCCAAGUCUCACCACCAGCAUGACGACAGGACUUGUUUCUCUAGGAAAAAGGCAUGGCCAUAGGGGCAGCUGGGCCCAGAUCUGAAUAUGACUCUGGUCUUGUUAAGACUGGGCAAGUCACUUCCUGAACUCCAGCCUCAGUUUACUCAUGUGUAAUGUGGGGCGGUAUGACACAACGCAGGAAGUAACAGCUGCCUCCACUGUAGUCAGGUGGCACAGAUGGGAGACCAGGCCUCUGCUGCUUGUGACCAAGUGCAAGUGCCGUCACAGAAGGCUGGCUCCGUCAGUCAGGGCAGGCCGCUCAGUACCUUCGCUGCUGUACAACUUAAUGGCCGACUUCACACACGGGCGUCCCUUCAAACCCGGCGCAGUGGCCUCUAAGUUAGGUCACGGACGUGCCCAGAUGGGAGGGGUGGGCUGCAAAGAACUCAAGGUCCCGUAUUUCACCAUCAUUUCCAACCCCUAGUAUCAAUGGGAAGAGUGUUGGUCUGCUGGUACAAACGCUACAGAAGACGAGGCCUUGACCUAGCUGUCCGGUUUGAGAAGUAGCCAUUUACCCAUGUUUAUCAGCGCUUGCUGUGCACCAAAUGUGUCAUUCUGAACCUUUAACUGCCACAGUAUCUCAUCCUCACUGCCCAGCCAAAACGGUGAUCGCUACAGCCAUCCCCACUGCAGAUUCCAGGAGACCGAGGCACACAUCGACUGGCAUCCACCUGUGAUCAGCCACGUCGCUGCUGCUAUCAUGUUCAUCACUGUGUCAGGUGUCCCACGGUGAGCAUGUACCAGUUUAUCCAUCACAUGUUAAUGGGUGGCUGUGUUGUUUUGGUUUGGGGCUCCUAUGAGUAACAUGUUGUGGAUGACCUCUGGCCAGCAUUCCCCUGGGGUAGUUCCCAGGAAUGUAUUGCUGGGUUUUAUGGCCGGUGUGUGUUUGGUUUUGUGAAAAACUGCAAGACCCUUUUCUAAAUGUACAACUUUACAUUGCCACUGAUAACUUUGGAAGCUGCAGUGGACAUUUUGUCAUUAGUGGCAGUAAUUGGCUCCUGACUCUCCCCAGGCUUCCAGGCCGUUUGCACAUCUGUUUAAUGAAAAAUUUUGUCUGGUUUUGUGCCCACUACAUUUUCAUUUUGAUUUCUUCCCAUUCUUUUUAUUGUUUGGUUAGAGGUCAGAUAUACUAUUGAGAACGUCUUUUUCUGAGCAAAUAAUUUCCUUUUCUUAACAAAUGUGAGUUGUAUCACAGCAUUCGUAAACAAAAGAGGGCUGACUUGGGUCAUUAUACGCAAAGUGGCCGAAAGGGAUCCUGUGAUGGGAGAGGGCUGUGAGCUUGGCUGAGUCAGGGCGUGGACGAGGAAGAUAAGACAAGACCUGUGAGUCUUAGGUGACUUCACUCCCCAAGAAUGUAAGUGGAGAUGGCCAGAGUGUGUUCCUGGAGAGUGUCUGGACAGGCCACUCAUCUGCACACCACUGUGCCUUUUGCGUGACUGCCCGAGCGCCACUUCCUGGAGCAGCCCUCCUCUGCAUUUUGCCUACUGACAGGGUGUCUGACCUGCCAGUCUGGCCCAGGGGAGUCUGGCCUGAUAAGGGAUUAGCACAUGACAAGCUCUCUUCUCUGAGACACUUUCUUCCCUCCCUGUGACUCUUUUCAUGCUGAAGUCUGGAAGCCCUGCAGAAAUCCCUUUUAGAAGCUCGGCAUAGUGUUGGCCUGUACUCCUAGCACCUGGGAAUUCAAGGCAGUUCUCAGCUACAUCCUCAGCGUGAGCCCACCCAAACCAAAGAAGUAAAGUCCUUUCUGGAAAAUAAAAGAAUAACAUGGA